rnacentral:rRNA from 12 species
CAUGGCGGCCACACCGUCCUGCAAGUGUUCGAUCUCAUCUGAUGUCAGAAGCUAAGCAGGCCUGGGCCUGGUUAGUACUUGGAUGGGAGACUGCCUUGGAAGACCAGGGGCAUGG